rnacentral:hammerhead_ribozyme from 1 species
CACUAGUCGAGAGCUGAGGCCGCUCUCCUGAUGAGUCCAAGGAAGGAUGAAAGCAGUG